UUUAUACCAUGUCUAAUAGUCGUGAAUAAUCGGAAAAUUCGAAGAGUAUAUAAAGCGCCCUGUCAAUGGUACUACAAAUCAAAAAUGAAAAAUCUAAUUUUAGUUGUGGCUCUUUCCCUAGUGGCAUUGGUAUCAUCCCAACGACCUUGGCCUCCUUGGAGGCCUCCUCCGUGUCCUCCUCCGUGUGGUCCAGUAUAUAGACCACCACCACCGCCUUAUAGACCGCCUUAUGUCCCACCUACUACGGCUCGUGACAAAUGGUGCCGACUAAAUCUGGGUCCUGCAUGGGGUGGGCGAUGCUAAGAAAACAGACGUUCUCUCACUUCUGCUAAAAAUCGGAAUUUCAAAUUUAAAGCUAAAAUAUUUAAAAAUCCUUAUGAUUGUGUAAAGCUUGAAGUUUGGUAUACAUAAAAAUUUUAAUUUUUUUAUUUGUUAAUAAAUCCAUUUCCGAUUAAAGCUAUAAAA